rnacentral:lncRNA from 1 species
GGUGGGAAGAUUCCAUUUUCAACCUGCAGUCUACAAUGGGGUGGUUGGGAAGACCUCAAGGAGAGGAUGACAUUGACCUAUUUGCUGGGCUCCCCAAGGGAAGAGCAUUCCAGGUCAUCGGAUGAAAGAGAAGAUUGGAAGAAGCUACUGAAGGUAAAGCAGAAAUAUAAGGGAUAAUUCCUCAACUACAGUGGACAGAGUUGGAAUCUGAGCCAAGCGGAGCAGUCAUGCUGAGUUCAGGAAGCCUCACUGCUAAAUGCCACCUAUCAAAGUGGCC